GAGGAGGGAGCACGCCGGGGUGGGAUCCAUGAUGCCAUCCCUGGCGCAGCAGCGUUUUAUUCCCCCCGCUGCCGGGAGACACCGCACCUCCGACAGCCGGAGCUGUCCGCGUCCCGUCCGUGCCCAACAGCCGCAUCCCUUAGUGCCAUCAUCCUUUUCCCUUUAAAACUCCUGGAAUGCGACAUUCAAGGCGAGCCAAAUGACAGCCUUAAAAGAUUAGUCAGACAAGAAGACAUUUGCAGGAUAUAUCCCCUAUGUCGUCUAAUGGGCAAUGGAAAAAAUUGUCACAAACCACUUGUCUCAGAGCAUUUAAAAAUUAAGUGACUUAUCUUAUUGAUCUCUUCCUUUCCCUCUGAACAGUAUAACCGAUUACAGAUGCUUAUUUUCUGCAACAAGCAGUCAGGUAGGAUGCACCUAAAUCCGACUUUUGUUCUUAUUGACAUCCUCCAUGGGAGGAGAGGGAUUUCAGCUCCUACAAUGCUGCUGUUGAAUAUUGUAUCAGUUUCAUGUUGUUACCACAUGCUCCCUCAUAAUGAUGUUCGGCAGGUUUUAAUAUACCUAUGAUGUAUACUAAUAGAGUAAUUGUUUUUAUUCUAACUGAUUCACAAGUAUUUAGGCACUUAUUACCUAUUAUUAUCUACCUAGGAGAUGUUUCUCUUCAUCACUGCAAUUCAUUAGAUUAUUUAUCACAGUGCUUUUAGGACAAACUGGGGGCCCUGGGGAGGAUUACCAGCCUGCACAGCAGUAUUGCUUAUCCCACUCCUCCUGCACAGGCAGCUGUCCUGCUCUAUGUGCAGUUAACAUGCAGACUGUAAAAGGAGAACUGCAGUGCUUGAAUUUGUGCUAUUUUCUCCUUUGCCACAUCUCACAGGACAAUCACAGAGUAAUUAUUGGUUUUGAGGCAAAGCACUUUUCAGUUUCAAAGCAGCAAGGAACUACUUCAGAGAAACCUGUGUAGAACAAGACUAGCAAGAUCCACCUUUCAGAAACACAUCCAUCUCCACCUUGUUGAAGCCUCCCCUGCCUUUUUAGCCUGACUCGAGAGGAAGGCUGCAUCAGCCUGCUUUAGAGCCACAGCUUUCCUAUAGCUGUUCAAAUUACUUUUCUCACCUUCCUUCCUCUGACUUUUCCUUACACAAGGCUCUGUCAUCACAGACUGUCAUCAAAGAACAAGAAGUUUACAGAUCACAGGACCAAGUACUGAGUGGGGCAACAUACCAACAUUCAAACCAAAACAAAUUUUACAAAAAGACUUCAAGGUAGUUGAGGAACUACUCACAGCUGAAAGGAGGAACAGUUAAUGACAAGGAUGGAGGCACAAGCCAGGACAGCCACACCAGAAAAAAUUCUCAUAUAAAACCUUUAACCUGUUUGAAGGCACAGUAAACAACUGGGAUGCAGACAGAUCUGUACAAGAGUAUCGUCCAUGGACUGGAGCAAAACCAUCCAAGCCUAUAAAGUCAAAACAAGGCUUCAUUAUCCCAGAAGACCAUUUUGUUCAAGAGACAAGCUACAAGGCAGACUUUAAGAUCCCAGAGGUGAAGACCAGAUUCUCCCCCAACCCUUCUGCUGUUUUCCAGGCGCCAUCGCGGAUCCUCAACGUAUGAACCUGGACCCUCCUCACACCCAGACAGCUUAAAUGCAGAGUUUCUGUUAAGAUGUAUCACUAUGCAACUUUCAUGAGGAGUGUUAAGAUCAAAGAACUGGUGUUAUCAAAAGCAGCUCCAGUGAUUAAUGAUAUGCACACACACUUUCUGUUAACACAACAAACCGCAAAGCGCUUGGUUCAGAACUGGCAAAACACGCUGCGAGGAGUGACCUAGUUUUUCACAGGAGCAGGUUCAUUACUAUGCCAGCUGGCGUCACAUUAGGAGAUUGACUUUGGGCAGCAAAGGCAGGAUUGCAGGCAACAUCCCUACUCAGAAAUACACAGGGUAGGAGGGAAAACAAUUGCAAGCGGGAUGGAUAAUUAAAACCCAAACCAGUUUUAUUUAGCAACACCCUCUAAGUAGGCUGCUGAAAGACAGGGAGUAGUUUGGCUGACUUCUGACAUUCUUGAGGGGUUUUGGGAGUAGGACCUCAAAUGGCAUCACCAGAAAGUAGAGCUUUGAAGGGGCUGGUCUGAACUUCCAGAGUUGUUUUAGAAGCUGGAGGAAGCCAAUGUCAUUGAACUCUAAAAUAAAUCUGGCACAUGCAGUGUCUUGGGCCUUUAAGGCUGGGAAGCUGGAUAUUACCAAAAUUGGAGAGCAGAUGCAGGAGCAAGAGAGGACCACUCCAGGAGACAGCCCUGACAGCAGUGCACCAAACUGGUUUGGAGAAGAGUGCAUGGAUACAGCCAGGCACCCACCAGACUCCUCCAGAGGAUCUAGGAUACUUACAUAAUUUGUAGAGUUGUUAGGGUGACUGUAAAUAUUGUACAUGGAUUUUACCUAAAGCAAUUUGUGAUCCUUUAAUGAAAAGGAUAUGCUUAUACUUUUAAUAAAUGUUAACUCUUUGCAUAUGCAAGGUGGAAAAUAUUGCCUUGAAAUUCCUAAAUUAUCGCCUGUAUAUUGGUAAUGCUAAUGCUAGGAACAACCACAAGCGAAUGUUACUUAGAAAUUCUUCUUAAAGAAAAAUGUAAUGUAGAAUGUAAGCCAUCUGUCAUUUUUAAGAUAGGCCGUUUCAAAUGUCAUUGUUCUGAAGCUGAUUUUUUUAGACUGCUGCAUAUUUAACUUUUGCUGAGGUACAUGUGUUUUAAGAAACCAUUUUUUUAGCCUUUGUUCAUUGAGACUUUACAAUUUCUAUUUCGAUAACUUAUGCAAUAUAAUUAGUCUACUGCUUAUUUAAUGGAUUUACUAAUUAUUUUGGAAAAAAAAAUUGAAAAACUCUUACUUUGUGUUUGCAACACAUGUGUUGUCCAGAACAAAGGGAAACUAUCCUCAGACUUUAACAGUGAUCAGAUAUUCAUUCAUCUGUAAUGAAACAGACUUUCAACACAGGAGGACUUUUUCUUGAACUUCUUACUAGCUGAAGUUUAAAGCAAAUUUAAUGAACUUCAGGGAUUCUGCAGAAAACAUAUGCAUUGCUGAUAAUUCGCAUAAGAACAAUUUUUCAGCUGUUGGGCGUGUGAAUUGUACUUGCAAUACAUGCAGACAGCAUCUUCUCACUGCAUUAUGUGAGAAUUUAAUGGUGUUCACUGUAGUGGGACUGAGCACAACCACCAGAACAGGGAACACCUGCAGUAACCUGCAUUUGGCUGGGACAAGGGAUGGCUCUUCCCACACUCAUCCUUGGAGAAACCUGCAGUAAUCCCAGUGCUUGCCAAAAUAAUUUUUCAGGAAAUUCAUUUUUCAGGAAAUUCAUUGAAGCAUUCAAACUGUGCUAAAAGUUUUGCAUGUUAGAUGUUUCUAAGAAUUCAAUCUGCUUGUUUGAUCUCUUUAUAACGUUUUUAGCAGUUUUGUUCAAACAAUUUAAGUUCAUUUCAAUCCUGGACUUUAUUAACAGCAAGGGGAAAAAAAGUAAAAAGGAAAUUGUCUAUUAUCUCUUCUUAAUUGACUGUAUUUCUUAAAAAUAUGACCCAGGUUUAAACAAAUUGGUAAUAUAAUAAGCUUGUAUUUUAUCAAAUGGACUGGAAUUUAAUAAAUUAAAAUGUAUUUUGGCUAUUGGUUCUCUCCCA